CCCUUAGAUGUCCUGGGCCGCACGCGCGCUACACUGAUGCAUUCAACGAGUUCACCUUGGCCGAGAGGCCUGGGCAAUCUUUUGAACGUGCAUCGUGAUAGGGAUAGAUUAUUGUAAUUUUUAAUCUUGAACGAGGAAUUCCUAGUAAACGCAGAUCAUCAAUCUGCAUUGAUUACGUCCCUGCCCUUUGUACACACCGCCCGUCGCACCUACCGAUUGAAUGGUCCGGUGAAGCCUCGGGAUUGUGAUAAGUUCCCUUUAUUGGGAGUUUGUCGCGAGAACUUGUCUAAACCUUAUCAUUUAGAGGAAGGUGAAGUCGUANCA
rnacentral:rRNA from 1 species